rnacentral:tRNA from 1 species
AGGGAUUUAGCUUAGUGGCAUAAGUAUCUGCCUGGCAAGCAUGAGGUGAGUUCAAUCCCUG